rnacentral:rRNA from 1 species
AAUAUUGGACAAUGGGGGCAAUCCUGAUCCAUCCACGCUGCGUGUGUGUAGAAGGUCCUCGGAUUGUAAAGCACUUUAAGUUUGGAGGAAGGGCCUUAGGUUAAUACCCUGAAGAUUUGCCGUUACUACCAGAAUAAGCACCUCCUAACUCUUUGCCAGCAGCCGCGGUAAUACAGAGGGUGCAAGCGUUAAUCGGAAUUACUGGGCGUAAAGCGCGGGUAGGUGGUUCAGUAAGAUGGGUUUGAAAUCCCCGGGCUUAACCUGGGAACUGCUUUCAUAACUGCUGAACUAGAGUAAGGUAGAGGGUAGUGGAAUUUGCUGUGUAGCGGUGAAAUGCGUAGAUAUAGGAAGGAACACCAGUGGCGAAGGCGACUACCUGGACUGAUACUGACACUGAGGUGCGAAAGCGUGGGGAGCAAA